UACGUAGGGUGCAAGCGUUAAUCGGAAUUACUGGGCGUAAAGAGCUCGUAGGCGGUUUGGUAAGUCAGGCGUGAAAUCUCCACGCUCAACGUGGAGGGGCCACCUGAUACUGCCAUGACUGGAGUCCGGUAGAGGAGUGUGGAAUUCCCGGUGUAGCGGUGAAAUGCGCAGAUAUCGGGAGGAACACCCGUAGCGAAGGCGGCACUCUGGGCCGGUACUGACGCUGAGGAGCGAAAGCGUGGGGAGCGAACAGG
rnacentral:rRNA from 1 species